rnacentral:lncRNA from 1 species
GUAGAACUCCAACGCUGUCUCUUCUAACAGGUUCUUUUUUCGACUUUACUGGGUUGACAGCUGGAACGGUGGCGCUAAGCCUCAUCUGCAGAUGAGAGGUCCAUUUUCCAAUAAACGGAUUUGUUAAACAGUUUAGAUGACGUCUUGACCUCAACUGCUGACUUCUGGACGGAUGUGUUAAAUACAGAUGAGCAGGCUUUGGCCAAAAUAUCAAACUGGAUGAGAUGCAACCUAUUAACUUUGAAAAGAAAUAAAUGCUCAUUCAUGCCCGUAUCCAUUAGCCAAGAGUCGACAACAUAAAACUUCUCAAACACUACAUCAGUGUGAGGAACAACUGCAUUGUUGCCAACCAAUUAAAACAGUAGGUUAAAUAUCUUGAGACAGACAAUCACAUGAAAUGAAAUAAACAUAUUAAAUAUAAAUGAGAAAAUGUAAGGACAUGUAUGUAUAUUAUAAACAAAAUAUAAGGAUUCCAAAUUAAAACUAAAA